rnacentral:lncRNA from 1 species
AUGGUCACGUUUCGGGAGCGGGGCCUCAGACCUGGCUCGCGGCGCCCGCGCCCGCUCGCUUCCGUCCCGCGGCGCCGGUCUCCGGCUCUCGGUCCGCCGCCUCCCGCCGCCCGCCGGCCGCGGGCGCACAGCGAGUCAGAGCGCGGCCGCGCGGGACUCCAUGCCGGCCGGCGCGCCGCCGCCGUUGGGGCGCAUGGCUCAGGCGGGGCGGCCCGCGGGGCGCACAUCCUUCGGCCGGGGCGCGGGGCUCGCGGCCCCCCUCCGCGGGCGGCACAGCGAAGGCGGCGGAGAGGCGGGCGUGUUCCGGCGCUGUCGCCGCGCAGUCAGGGGCCGGGGAGCUGCGGCUUCGCCCUCCGGGGCGGUGAAGAGGAGGCCGGCGGCGCUGCCGCUCACGGUGCGUGUCUCCCGGCGCGCGGCUCUUGCCUCCAGUCGGAGCUCCACGCCGAUGGGGCGGCGCUGAUUAGGGUUUGGGGCGACGCGACGCGGGCGGACGCGGGUCCCCCCGCGUUGCCGGGUCGGGGGCUCUGCCAGAGGCUCCGCCGCCGAUCGGCGCCACUGCUGCCCGGGGCUCCGUCUGAGCGCUCGCUCUGCAGACGGUCGCGGCCCGGAGGCUGGCAGGAGGCGGGCACGGGAGGCGCGCGGGGCGAGGGCGCCGUGGAGCGCGGGCGUGGGGACGCGCGGCGGCGGCGCCGCGCGGAGGAGGCGCGCGGGGAUCCCGGGGCCCCGCCGCCCGCGCCCACCGCGCCCGCCGCAGAGCCGCCCGCGCUGCUCGGCCGCCUCGCUCUUCGCGUCUGCCUCUCAGCGCGCUCGCCCCGCCUCCCGGAGCCGGUCCCAACUCCGCCCGCCCGGCCCGGCUCACGUCACCCGCCUUCCCCGCCCCUCGAACGGGAGCUCGAGUCCCCGACCCGGCCCCGGCUCAUGCUCGCCGUCCCACCUUGCGGGGCCGGGGUCGCCGCGGGGCGGGGGCGUCGGAGGGCUGUGCCCAGCGAGGGCGACAGCGCAGGCGGGGCUUCUUCAGCCCCCUUCCCCAUUCCCGGUUGCGUCCCGGUCCCCACCUUGCGAAAGGCUCGAGAGAGGCCGCAGGCUCCGAUUGGACCGCCGGGCGCCGCCGGAUGGUGUUGCCAGGGUAACCGGAUGGCAUGCGAAGCCGUUCGAGGUUCCGACCCGGUUACGGGGGCGCCCAGUGGACCCGGAGAGCUACUUUGGGGAGGGGGCGGCACCGAGGAAGAACUGGGUGGGGGCGCAUGGAGCAGGGGCUGUGCGAAAAGUUUCCUGGGGCGGAGCUGCGCCACGCGGGCCGCGCAGGAGCGUCUGUCCGAGGGUCCCCUGCGAGGGACUCCUCUGCUCGGCUGCGCGGGCUUCUGCGUUGAUGAAGUCACCGCGUUCCGGGUCGGAGCUUCAGCGCUUCUGCCCGGAACCCAGCGAAGCCCAGUCCUAUGCCCCUGA